CCUACGGGAGGCAGCAGUGAGGAAUAUUGGUCAAUGGGCGCGAGCCUGAACCAGCCAAGUCGCGUGAGGGAAGACGGUCCUACGGAUUGUAAACCUCUUUUGUCGGGGAGCAAAAUACGCCACGCGUGGCGUUCCGAGAGUACCCGACGAAAAAGCAUCGGCUAACUCCGUGCCAGCAGCCGCGGUAAUACGGGGGAUGCGGGCGUUGUCCGGAUUUAUUGGGUGAAAGGGUGGCGAAGACGGUAGAGAAAGUCAGCGGGAAAAUUGAGGGGCUCAACCUCUUAGAGCAGUUGAUACUGGUAGUCUUGAGUAAGGGAGAGGUAGGCGGAAUGCGUGGUGUAGCGGUGAAAUGCAUAGAUAGCACGAAGAACUCCGAUUGCGAAGGCAGCUUACUGGAGCUCAACUGACGCUGAUGCACGAAAGUGUGGGUAUCGAACAGGAUUAGAUACCCGGGUAGUC
rnacentral:rRNA from 1 species